rnacentral:lncRNA from 1 species
GACCAAAGAAAUUCUCUCAAAAGGAUUCACAACCAACAUCCUAAUCAAGGAGGGCAAGAUCUGAUAGUUGAUGGAUUCAGCUUGUAAAACAUAUCAGAUUGAGCUCGUGAUUUACAAGUAGAAUCCAAUUAAAUCCAAACCCAACAAUUAGAAUGAAAGUUCUUAAUCCUGUCUUUAAGAAAUCCUUGGAUCAUCUGUAGUCAUACAACUUGGGGUUUGUUUAUUAUUGAACAUAAAUUACAACACAGAACUUCAAAUGAGUGUACUAAAUGAAAACAGAAACAAUAAGAACUUGAUAGAUCAGAAUUCACGACACCAAAAGGAAGAGUUGCUCCCAGCCAAAUCCAAUGAGAACACUACACAGUUACCACCAAGGCAAAUGAGACAAGUAUCAAAGGCAAAGAACAGAGAACCAUAACCAAUAAUAGAAACAAAAAGAAAUUAUAAAAUGGAAGGACAUUUGCAAGCCAGGACCAGCUAAGGACAACGUCAACAAGAUAAUGAUGUGCAAAACAGAAACUAUCUAUGUGAAAGUCUAACAAUUGGUUAACACCCUCCCUCCCCGGUGCACAGAACAGGUGCAGAAUAUCCCCCCAGUAUUUUGAAAGACCUUAACACAGUAUCUGUUAUAAUGGAGAUAAUCAGCAAGUUUUUUAGGAAAAGCAAUAAGUAGGUGGCACUCCUUUUCUACAGGGGGUGUAACCAGCAAAUAACAUCUUUCUCCAAUGUUUGUCAUAACAAAAGUUGAAUUUCAAGAAGAGAUGGUAAAAAGUCUGUAGAUCAUUCAAAAUAGUGAGUCAGAGAAGUUCUUUUAAAGCUUGAUAAACAAUCUGACUGAAGUUCUUCAAUCCACCACGGAAAAUGAUCUCCAAUUAUCAGCCACAUCACCCAAAAAGACAUGCAACCUUUUUUGUGGACCAAAGCUCACAUAUAACAUCAACCUCAAAUUCCGUUGGAAGAAAGUAAAACAAUUGCAUGGGCAUUUAUGGCUAGACAUACAAAACCCUGUUUAAUAAGACUAACAAAAACCAGACCUUGAUACUCUACAAAACGGAGCAUACAAACAAUUUAUGACUAUAACCACAAUCAAAUGGUAAUGAUAGAACAUGCCUUGAAGCUCUAAAAAUGUUGUGAUCCAAAUGCAGGUGAACAAUCUUACCACUUAA